rfam:Asian citrus Psyllid, Diaphorina citri - Florida Strain, whole genome shotgun sequence.
CAAAAGGUUCUUUUGCCCCUGAGAGUCAUUAGGAGAACCACCAUUAGUUUCUGCAUAUUUACCU